rnacentral:rRNA from 1 species
UACCUGCAGCUCAAGUGGUGAUCAUUAUUAUUGGGCCUAAAACGUCCGUAGCCGGUUUAGUAAAUGCCUGGGUAAAUCGUGUAGCUUAACUAUACGACUUCCGGGUAGACUACUAAACUUGAGACCGGGAGAGGCUAGAGGUACUCCUGGGGUAGAGGUGAAAUUCUGUAAUCCUAGGGGGACCACCAGUGGCGAAGGCGUCUAGCUAGAACGGGUCUGACGGUGAGGGACGAAGCCCUGGGGCACAAACCGGAUUAGAUACCCGGGUAGUCCAGGGUGUAAACGCUGCUUGCUUGAUGUUAGUUGGGCUCCGAGCCCGACUAGUGUCGGAGAGAAGUUGUUAAGCAAGCUGCCUGGGAAGUACGGUCGCAAGGCUGAAACUUAAAGGAAUUGGCGGGGGAGCACAGCAACGGGUGGAGCGUGCGGUUU